rnacentral:rRNA from 1 species
GUGGGGAAUAUUGGACAAUGGGGGCAACCCUGAUCCAGCCAUGCCGCGUGAGUGAUGAAGGCCUUCGGGUUGUAAAGCUCUUUUGGCGGGGACGAUGAUGACGGUACCCGCAGAAUAAGCCCCGGCUAACUUCGUGCCAGCAGCCGCGGUAAGACGAAGGGGGCUAGCGUUGUUCGGAAUUACUGGGCGUAAAGCGAGUGUAGGUGGUUUUCCAAGUUGGAUGUGAAAGCCUUGAGCUCAACUCAAGAAAUGCAUUCAGGACUGGAGGACUAGAGGACCGGAGAGGAUAGUGGAAUUCCCAGUGUAGUGGUGAAAUACGUAGAGAUUGGGAAGAACACCAGUGGCGAAGGCGGCUAUCUGGACGGUUACUGACACUAAGACUCGAAAGCGUGGGGAGCAAACAGGAUUAGAAACCCUUGUAGUCC